GGCUUUGCAAGGGGGGUGAUAGCCCCUGUGGGGGCCAUUUGGCCCCUGUUGGGGGUCCAUACCCCUUGUGUGGGGGAUGAAACCCCUGUUGGGGGGCCAGAUCCCUUGUGAGAGGGCCAAAACCACUGUUGGGGGGGCCAUCGCCCUGUGGGAGUGCAACAAAACUCAGGAACCAGCUGCGGGAAGAAGAGGAUCCAGGCACACGUGUGUCCCGCCUGCACGUGUGCCCCCUUACUAACUCACUGACUGGAGGCAGAAGCAGCAGCAGCAGAGGAAUCAGCAGCGGGGGCAGCAACAGCUGAUCCCCCGAAGGACCAGGCACACAAGGAAGAAGCAGCCCAGGGAGUGCCCUCCACAGCAGAGUGGCAGACGGUAACAUCCAGAACUGGAGCUGCUCACAGCAAACUGGUACCAGUUCCUCCAGUCUGACUAGAGAAUAGGUCAAGAGAUCCAAGCGGACCCAGAGGAAGAGGCAUCGAGUGAUUGUCAUAGGAGACUCCAUCCUGAGAGUGAGCGGACGCUGAAGACGGCAUGAGAACUGCAUUACAGAGACCAACUGGCGGGUUCGGCAAUGGUGUCUCGAGGCAGGCUUCAACUUCCUGGACAAUGGCCCGCACAUCACGACGAGGGACAUGCUCAGUUGGGAUGGGCUUCACCUGUCCCCCAAAGGUAAGCGUGUGUUCUCUUAUAGAUUGGUGGAUCUCCUCCGGUGGGCUUUAAACUAGGCUUGUCAGGGGAAGGGGAAGAUGAGGGCGGGGGAAGCUGUGGACCACCAAACCAUGUGGCACCCACAAGGACAGCCCAGCCUGAAGAAGGAGAACACGG